CGCCUGGCAAAAAUCGCCUGCAACGUUUGCGACAACUAUUUCCUUGGUACUUCGGCCUACGUCAUACUUUUGGGCCUGAUUGGAACGUUCCAACGGACGUCGAAAGAGACUUGAAGCUGAUGACUUCGAUCCUCGGAAUAGAACACUACACUCUAAUAAUGCUUGGAGCGAUAACGGAAUAUCCGAUGCUUCACACGCCGUGGCUCCUGAUGCAAUUGUGCGUUAUUCUGGUCGAGGUAAUCGUUUUUUUCGUACGACUAUUCCUCGACGGAUUGCACGUAAAACGGGAUGAAAUUUUACUCGCUUUUCUCGCUGUACACAACUGGCUUCAAGUAUUUUGCCUAUUUCACAGACAAGCUCGUCACCCGACCUUUUGAUUUUAAGUAUGUAUAUUCGUAAAAAAAAAAAAAACACCCGAGUGAACUGCCCAAAAACAGAUCGAAUUUAUGCUGUUAAUGUGUUAACCGAUACUGCAAUGAGGCGUCUGUUAUUUUAUCACAUUCAUAAAUAUAUCCAAGUCGCUGUUAAACUGUAUGAAACUGUAAACCGUCCGUCAA